rnacentral:rRNA from 1 species
AUUGAACGCUGGCGGCAGGCCUAACACAUGCAAGUCGAGCGGAUGAAGGGAGCUUGCUCCUGGAUUCAGCGGCGGACGGGUGAGUAAUGCCUAGGAAUCUGCCUGGUAGUGGGGGAUAACGUCCGGAAACGGGCGCUAAUACCGCAUACGUCCUGAGGGAGAAAGUGGGGGAUCUUCGGACCUCACGCUAUCAGAUGGGCCUAGGUCGGAUUAGCUAGUUGGUGGGGUAAGGGCCUACCAAGGCGACGAUCCGUAACUGGUCUGAGAGGAUGAUCAGUCACACUGGAACUGAGACACGGUCCAGACUCCUACGGGAGGCAGCAGUGGGGAAUAUUGGACAAUGGGCGAAAGCCUGAUCCAGCCAUGCCGCGUGUGUGAAGAAGGUCUUCGGAUUGUAAAGCACUUUAAGUUGGGAGGAAGGGCAGUAAGUUAAUACCUUGCUGUUUUGACGUUACCAACAGAAUAAGCACCGGCUAACUUCGUG